rnacentral:rRNA from 1 species
CAAAAACAUAGCUAAAUGAAUUUUGUAUUUAGUUACUUCUGCUCAAUGGUAAAACUAAAUAGCCGCAGUACCCUGACUGUGCAAAGGUAGCAUAAUCAUUUGGCUUAUAAUUGAAGUCUGGCAUGAAAGAAUAUACGGGUAAUCGCUGUCUUUUGAAGUUUUUAUGAAAUUAUUUAGUAGGUGAAAAUACCUAUCUCUAAAUAAAAGACGAGAAGACCCUAGAAAUUUUAUAUAAGUUGAUAUAGAUAUUAAUAUUAUUUUGUUGGGGCGACAGAAUAACAGUUAACUUAUUUUAAUUGAUUGGAACUAUUAUAUAGAGAUAAAAUAAAUUACUCUAGGGAUAACAGCAUAAUUUGUAAGAGUUUGUGACCUCGAUGUUGGACUAGGGUUUGCAUUGUUUAGAAGAUAUUGCAUCAGGCUCUGUUCGAGCUUUUAAUCCCUACGUGAUCU